rnacentral:misc_RNA from 1 species
GUAUUUUCGAAUUAGGUCAAUUCAAUGAUACAUUGCUUCAGACAAAACUGGUUUAAAACAGAUUAAUGGAUUAAAGAUAUCUUACUCCUCGCGGCCCACUCCAAAGAGGGAGACGCACGGAGCAGAUUCAAACGUUGCACACAAGGUGGGUAUGUAUUUUAUAAAGUGCCAUUUAACACUUAUAUGGAAUUUUUUUAAAAAGUGCCAUAAACACUUAAUUGUGAAUGAUCCUUCCGCAGGUUCACCUACGGAAA